AACAUUUCACGCCUGCCAGUGACGCAAGCCUCGACAUUUUGUUAAGCUAUGGUUUCCUCCAACAGCGGUGCCGUUUUUAAACGGACGCAAUGUGAUGACCGCAAAAAGACGGCCGUAAACAUGUGGAAUGUUCGAGACUGCAUUGACCGUUUUAUUACGGUGAACAGACCACAAAGUACGUGUCAAUGGUUGGAAAUGGACGAACUUGAUUUAACGUU